GUAUUUCCUCUUCGAGAGAAAAGAUAAUGUUGAUAAAUCUGACACUUCCACAGUAAAACCUCAGUCAAGGGGCAGGGCAAAAACUACAGAGGGGCUUUAGAUCACCCAGAAACCCUUCAAAGCCCGUGAUUUUGAUGGUGAGGUUUGGCUACUUGAUCCCCCCUGUGGGCAGAACUGUGCUUCCUCCUAAGACAAACAGCUUGGUGGCGCCUUCUGGUGGUAUGUUUGGGAGCAGACAGAUGAGACCAGAAACGGCUCUUCGGGGGUGUGUGAACUCCUCAAAUAUCACUUUUCUUGCAGAAAAGCAUAGACUAUGAGGUAUACAAAAAGCUGCAACCUCAGUCAAUGCAAUAUGUGUAACUGGCACAACAAAUUCACCCAACAAAUACAUGGAAGAAGUCUGCAGUAAAUUUUGACAUUCUCCAAAGGGUGAGAUAAAGGCAAAACACCUUUUUUUCCUGUCACUUAUUAUAUUCAUUCUGUUCAUUUUUUCCUUGCCUGCAGCCAACCACAAGGCAGGAGGGAGGGGCAAUGCCUCUGGUCACACAGGUGACACCAAUAGAUAGGCAGAAGACUUUUCCAGCCAUCUUCUCUUUGGGUCAGGAAAAUGCACCAAGUCCUCUAUAGGGUAUUUCUUGCCUCUUUAAAUAUUUCAGGCCAAGGAAGAGGUGGUGGAUGUGUGGGAAUGGUAAAAGCCAUCAGAAUCUCCAGCUUCAACUGUAGACAGAUAGAUCGGCUCUUGAGCAAACCAGAUUUAAACCACAAAGCUGCAAAUAAUCAGGUAAAUGCUUCUUCACCUCAUCAGUACUUGCAUCAUACCCAUCUGUGGUGUUGCAUUUAGCAGAACGUGUCUGGCCAUGCUUUUAUGCCAGGGGUGUGCUUUUUGAUAUCCCUGUGAGAAUACACCUGUAUUUGGCUGAAUUACCAAGCAAUGGAAAACGCAGGAAAAAUGGAAAACUUUUGUUCUAUGCCCUCACUUGCACAGAAAGCUGCAGUUACACAAGCCUGCGGUGCAGCUGGCUCACAAAGCUUCACCUUACCUCUGACUGCAGCGCCAGGCUCCUGCGGGCCGGGAGCUGAGCUCUGCAGCUGAGGCUGUGGGGCAGGAGGCUGCCCCGCUCUGCUCCUGGUGCCCCCACAUGCAUCCCAUGUGCUGGCAGGGAUCGGAGCUGGGUACACCACUGGUGGGUCGGGCAGGACUGGAAUAGGUAGGGCUGGAUCCGAUGACGGGUGGGUGCUCCAGCUGGACGUGGACACCUGGAGCUUGGAGUCCAUUAAUAUGGGACUGUGAGAAGUUAUGAAAAGUGUGGCAGGGAGCUGGAAAGGGAAACUAAUGUAUGAAGAUCGGGCCUUGCUGGGCAGGGUUGAGAAGAAGGGGAAACAAUCUGGAAUACUGGCUGACACUCUUAAAAACCACAUAACUGCACAAGAGCAGUCUUUUCAAGCUGAUGUGGAGUUAGUAGGUCACCAUACCGAAGUUUAACCUUGAAGUCGCUUCUGUGUUUGAAGAAACUAUCUUCUUAUUUUUGUAGAUUGAGAGCCACCCAUACCUUCCUCAGGAAGAGCUGAUUAAGUUUUGCCAGUCCAAGGGGAUCUCUGUCACUACAUACGCUCCAGUCCCUUGGAGCACCCAACUGGCCAUGGUAAGAAUGCUUUGUGAGACGACUUCUCACACAUAUAUUGGAGCCAGUACAAUGACCAGAAUCAGUGUGUGGAUAAGCCCUUAUAGAGUAAAACUGAUAUAACUAGAAAAAUGCUUGACAAUUUCUUAAAAAGGACAGACAGAAACCUUUCUCAUGCUUAUUGUGAUAUCCAGUCCACUAAUUCGCUCCUGUGCUGUUACUAGAUCUUCAUGUUUAGGAGAAAAAGGAUCAUUUGGUUGGUGAAAGUUGUGAAGAUAAUUCUUAAUUGAACUUUGGCAAGCUUAUUAAACACAUAAGAAAACUUCUGAUCUAAAAAAACACCAACAAACAAAUAAAGCCAAAGCACCACACA
ensembl:lncRNA